rnacentral:rRNA from 1 species
AACGAACGCUGGCGGCAGGCUUAACACAUGCAAGUCGAACGCAUCGCAAGAUGAGUGGCAGACGGGUGAGUAACGCGUGGGAAUCUACCCAGAUCUACGGAACAACAGUUGGAAACGACUGCUAAUACCGUAUACGCCCUACGGGGGAAAGAUUUAUCGGAUUUGGAUGAGCCCGCGUAAGAUUAGCUAGUUGGUGGGGUAAUGGCCUACCAAGGCGACGAUCUUUAGCUGGUCUGAGAGGAUGAUCAGCCACACUGGGACUGAGACACGGCCCAGACUCCUACGGGAGGCAGCAGUGGGGAAUAUUGGACAAUGGGUGCAAGCCUGAUCCAGCCAUGCGGCGUGAGUGAUGAAGGCCUUAGGGUUGUAAAGCUCUUUCACCGGGGACGAUAAUGACGGUACCCGGAGAAGAAGCCCCGGCUAACUUCGUGCCAGCCGCCGCCGUAACAC